GAUCCUGGCUCAGGAUGAACGCUGGCGGCGCGCCUAACACAUGCAAGUCGAACGGACGAUGAAGAGCUUGCUUUUCAAAGUUAGUGGCGGACGGGUGAGUAACGCGUGGGUAACCUGCCUCAUACAGGGGAAUAGCAGCUGGAAACGGCUGAUAAAAACCGCAUAAGCGCACAGUGCCGCAUGGCACGGUGUGAAAAACUCCGGUGGUAUGAGAUGGACCCGCGUCUGAUUAGCUUG
rnacentral:rRNA from 1 species